GUUAAUGGGUGAUAGCGUGCCUUUUGUAGAAUGAACCGGCGAGUUACGAUUUGUUGCAAGGUUAAGCGGAAAAAGCGGAGCCGUAGCGAAAGCGAGUCUGAAUAGGGCGCAUAAGUAACAGGUCGUAGACCCGAAACCAGGUGAUCUACCCAUGUCCAGGAUGAAGGUAAGGUAAUACUUACUGGAGGUCCGAACCCACGCACGUUGAAAAGUGCGGGGAUGAGGUGUGGGUAGCGGAGAAAUUCCAAUCGAACUUGGAGAUAGCUGGUUCUCUCCGAAAUAGCUUUAGGGCUAGCCUCGAGGUAAAGAGUCAUGGAGGUAGAGCACUGUUUGGACUAGGGGCCCUUCUCGGGUUACCGAAUUCAGAUAAACUCCGAAUGCCAUGUACUUAUACUCGGGAGUCAGACUGCGAGUGAUAAGAUCCGUAGUCGAAAGGGAAACAGCCCAGACCACCAGUUAAGGUCCCCAAAUAUAUGUUAAGUGGAAAAGGAUGUGGGGUUGCUUAGACAACCAGGAUGUUGGCUUAGAAGCAGCCACCAUUGAAAGAGUGCGUAAUAGCUCACUGGUCGAGUGACCCCGCGCCGAAAAUGUACCGGGGCUAAACAUAUUACCGAAACUGUGGAUGAACCUCUUCGGAGGUUCGUGGUAGGAGAGCGUUCUAAGGGCGGUGAAGUCAGACCGGAAGGACUGGUGGAGCGCUUAGAAGUGAGAAUGCCGGUAUGAGUAGCGAAAGAAGGGUGAGAAUCCCUUCCACCGAAUAUCUAAGGUUUCCUGAGGAAGGCUCGUCCGCUCAGGGUUAGUCGGGACCUAAGCCGAGGCCGAUAGGCGUAGGCGAUGGACAACAGGUAGAGAUUCCUGUACCAGUGCUAAUUGUUUAACCGAUGGGGUGACACAGAAGGAUAGGGAAUCGCACGAAUGGAAAUGUGCGUCCAAGCAGUGAGUGUGA
rnacentral:rRNA from 1 species